GAUGAACGCUGGCGGCGUGCUUAACACAUGCAAGUCGAACGAAGCACUUUAUUUGAUUUCCUUCGGGACUGAUUAUUUUGUGACUGAGUGGCGGACGGGUGAGUAACGCGUGGGUAACCUGCCUUGUACAGGGGGAUAACAGUUGGAAACGGCUGCUAAUACCGCAUAAGCGCACAGCAUCGCAUGAUGCAGUGUGAAAAACUCCGGUGGUAUAAGAUGGACCCGCGUUGGAUUAGCUAGUUGGUGAGGUAACGGCCCACCAAGGCGACGAUCCAUAGCCGACCUGAGAGGGUGACCGGCCACAUUGGGACUGAGACACGGCCCAAACUCCUACGGGAGGCAGCAGUGGGGAAUAUUGCACAAUGGGCGAAAGCCUGAUGCAGCGACGCCGCGUGAGCGAAGAAGUAUUUCGGUAUGUAAAGCUCUAUCAGCAGGGAAGAUAAUGACGGUACCUGACUAAGAAGCACCGGCUAAAUACGUGCCAGCAGCCGCGGUAAUACGUAUGGUGCAAGCGUUAUCCGGAUUUACUGGGUGUAAAGGGAGCGCAGGCGGUGCGGCAAGUCUGAUGUGAAAGCCCGGGGCUCAACCCCGGUACUGCAUUGGAAACUGUCGUACUAGAGUGUCGGAGGGGUAAGCGGAAUUCCUAGUGUAGCGGUGAAAUGCGUAGAUAUUAGGAGGAACACCAGUGGCGAAGGCGGCUUACUGGACGAUAACUGACGCUGAGGCUCGAAAGCGUGGGGAGCAAACAGGAUUAGAUACCCUGGUAGUCCACGCCGUAAA
rnacentral:rRNA from 1 species